rnacentral:rRNA from 1 species
AUUACAGAGUUCAUGCCCUUCGGGUAGAUCUCCCACCCGUGUCAUCACACCUUUGUUGCUUUGGCGGGCCCGCCUCGGCCACCGGCUCCGGCUGGUGAGCGCCCGCCAGAGGACCCCAAACUCUGAAAUUUAGUGCCGUCGGAGUACUAUAUAAUAGUUAAAACUUUCAACAACGGAUCUCUUGGUUCUGGACUCNAUGAUUAAUGCCACGAAAUGCGAUAAGGAAUGCGAAUUGCAGAAUUAAGUGAAGCAUCUUAUCUUUUACCGCGCAUCGCCCCCCUUGUGAUCCCGGGUUGCGUGCCUGGUCAAGCGGAGUUACAAGCCUGAAGCUGUGCUUGUAAUUGGGCGUCGCCGGGGACGGGAUGCCCUAAAAUCAGUGGCGGGGCCCGCUGGAUCUAACCGGAGGAGACCUCUCGGUCUGGAGGCCCGGUAGAUGUUAUCCAAACCCCCGUCUUUUUAAAGGAACGACCCCGAAUGAAACAUUUAUUCUCCCAGAACUACCUCAUAUCAAGAAGGGAAGCUCCCUGUACCUAUUUAUAUCACCAAG